rnacentral:rRNA from 1 species
AUUGAACGCUGGCGGAAUGCUUUACACAUGCAAGUCGAACGGCAGCACGGACUUCGGUCUGGUGGCGAGUGGCGAACGGGUGAGUAAUACAUCGGAACGUGCCCAGUCGUGGGGGAUAACGUAGCGAAAGCUACGCUAAUACCGCAUACGAUCUACGGAUGAAAGCGGGGGAUCGCAAGACCUUGCGCGAUUGGAGCGGCCGAUGGCAGAUUAGGUAGUUGGUGGGGUAAAGGCCCACCAAGCCGACGAUCUGUAGCUGGUCUGAGAGGACGACCAGCCACACUGGGACUUAGACACGGCCCAGACUCCUACGGGAGGCAGCAGUGGGGAAUUUUGGACAAUGGGCGCAAGCCUGAUCCAGCCAUUCCGCGUGCAGGAUGAAGGCCCUCGGGUUGUAAACUGCUUUUGUACAGAACGAAAAGGCUCUGGUUAAUACCUGGGGCUCAUGACGGUACUGUAAGAAUAAGCACCGGCUAACUACGUGCCAGCCGCCGCCGUAA